GAUGAACGCUGGCGGCGUGCCUAAUACAUGCAAGUCGAGCGAACAGACGAGGAGCUUGCUCCUUCGACGUUAGCGGCGGACGGGUGAGUAACACGUAGGUAACCUACCUAUAAGACUGGGGUAACUUCGGGAAACCGGAGCUAAUGCCGGAUAAUAUUUCGAACCGCAUGGUUCGAUAGUGAAAGAUGGCUUUGCUAUCACUUAUAGAUGGACCUGCGCCGUAUUAGCUAGUUGGUAAGGUAACGGCUUACCAAGGCAACGAUACGUAGCCGACCUGAGAGGGUGAUCGGCCACACUGGAACUGAGACACGGUCCAGACUCCUACGGGAGGCAGCAGUAGGGAAUCUUCCGCAAUGGGCGAAAGCCUGACGGAGCAACGCCGCGUGAGUGAUGAAGGUCUUCGGAUCGUAAAACUCUGUUAUUAGGGAAGAACAAACGUGUAAGUAACUGUGCACGUCUUGACGGUACCUAAUCAGAAAGCCACGGCUAACUACGUG
rnacentral:rRNA from 1 species